rnacentral:rRNA from 1 species
UACGUAGGGGGCUAGCGUUGUCCGGAAUCAUUGGGCGUAAAGCGCGUGUAGGCGGCCCGGUAAGUCCGCUGUGAAAGUCGGGGGCUCAACCCUCGGAUGCCGGUGGAUACUGUCGGGCUUGAGUACGGAAGAGGCGAGUGGAAUUCCUGGUGUAGCGGUGAAAUGCGCAGAUAUCAGGAGGAACACCCAUUGCGAAGGCAGCUCGCUGGGACGUGACUGACGCUGAGACGCGAAAGCGUGGGGAGCAAACAGG